rnacentral:lncRNA from 10 species
AGCUUUCGCUCACCAUCCACCACUGCUGUUUGCCACUGUCGCAGACCCACCGCCGACUCCCAUCCCUCUGGAUCCGGCAGGGUGUCCGCUGAGCUCCUGAUACGGCGAGACUCCCAUUGCCACUCCCGAUCAUGCUAAAGGCUUGCCAUUGUUCCUGCAACGUUAAGUGCCUGGGUUCGUCCUAAUCGAGCUGAACACUAGUCACUGGGUUCCAUGGUUCUCUUCCGUGACCCACGGCUUCUAAUAGAGCUAUAACACUCACUGCAUGGCCCAAGAUUCCAUUCCUUGGAAUCCGUGAGGCCAAGAACCCCAGGUCAGAGAAGACGAGGCUUGCCACCAUCUUGGAAGCGGCCCGCCACCAUCUUGGAAGUGGCUCGCCACCAUCUUGGGAGCUCUGUGAGCAAGGACCUCCGGUAACAUUUUGGCGACCACGAAGGGACAUCCAAAGCUCUCACUAUCCUUGACAGAGAAGAAAGGACUUAGAACCGGAAUUCAACUUUGUGACCAUAAUCUUGUUUUCAUCCCACAUAAAUGAGCAGCAAUGUAGCCAGUAAAAACACAGUGAGCUUUGAGGUGAAGUUGAGAAGGUUGUCCCUCUGCAGGGAGGGGCCGUAUAUUUUGUGUAAGUCUCACAAGAUUGGUCAAGGUAACUUAAGAACAGAGACUGGAAGAUGCAACAUGCAGCUAUGAAGACAGACUUGUGGAACAGUUAAGUUGAGCACUCAUGAGAGACUCUGAGAAUGACUCCUCAAAUAUUCUGAAGAUACAUAAGUCCUAUCUGCCACACAGGACAGAGUGACUGAAUAACUAGAAUGUUUUAGAUCCCUGUGAAUCAGUAUUGAAUGUGGUGCCAGAAUAUAAAAAUAAACAAAGAAGUUACAAUAUAGUGACAUGGGAGCAGGGAAAUAUAACAAACAAACAAACACGUAAUUAAGUAACUUGAACAAUGAGUAGUUGUAUGGUAGAGGUAUAAUACAUAAAAUACCUUAAGAACACAGAGGUGGUAGGGCUGAAUUAUACCUGGAAGACUUCAAAACAGAGUUGGCUUUUUAAAGCAGGGUUUUGAAAGUUGAAGUGAUAAAGAGAAAACUGAGGCAAGAGGCCAGUUCUUCUGGGUAUCAAAAAUAAAUACAUAUUCUUGGACUGGCAUGAUGUAUUCAGGAAGUGAUGGGUAGUCCAGUGCAAGCAGUAUACAGCCAACAAAUCAGAGGUGACCUAACUGAAAAUAAAGGGAGCAGAGUGCUGGGAAAUGGUGGCUUUAAAAAGCAUAUAUUAUGAGUAUAUAUGGGAAUGAUCCCACCUCAUUCUUCUACUGAACAGGAAGAAACAGGAUGCUUUAUCUAGAAUUCCAGUAUGACUCCAAAUCUGAAAUCCGCAUCAGUGAUGGAAACAAUGAGUAGAUUUCCCAGGGACCUGAAUAUUAAAGAUUUCACUUUUAGACUCUGCAAUGUAGUAAGUUAGCAAAUAAUUAUAAAAACAGAAUUCAAAAUGUACAAAUUGGACUCAUCUACAUGACAAUACCCAAUUAUAAAUCCAAAUAAACUAGCAGCCAGCAAUCAAAAUAACAAAUGUCCAGAUUUUUCUUUAUUGAUUUUUCUAGUAAAAUGACCAUAUAUUUUGGUAGUUCAUAUGGUUUGGCUGUGUGUCCCCAUCCAAAUCUCAUCGUGUAGUUCCCAUAAUUCCCAUGUGUUGUGGGAGGGACCCAGUGGGAGGUGACUGAUUCAUGGGGGUGGGUCUUUCCCAUGUUGUUCUUGUGAUAGUGAAUGGGUCUCAAUAGAGCUGAUGGUUUUAAAAACAGGAGGUUCUCUGCACACGCUCUCUCUUUGCCUGCUGCCAUCCUCAUACAAUGUGACUUGCUCCUCCUUGCCUUCCGCCAUGAUUGUGAGGCCACCCCAGCCAUGUGGAACUGUAAGUCCAAUAAACCUCUUUCUUCUGUAAAUUGCCCAGGCUCAAAUAUGCUUUCUGUGAAAAUGGAAAAAUACUGUAAUACAAAGAGAG